UUUCGAAUCAUUCACAAUGGGCGAAAGCCUGAUGGUGCGACGCCGCGUGAGGGACGAAGGCCUUCGGGCCGUAAACCUCUGUCACCGGGGAAGAAACGCUGCAUAUUAAUCGUAUGCAGCCUGACUUAACCCGGAGAGGAAGCAGUGGCUAACUCUGUGCCAGCAGCCGCGGUAAUACAGAGACUGCAAGCGUUAUUCGGAUUCACUGGGCGUAAAGGGUGCGCAGGUGGUCGUGUGUGUCAGAUGUGAAAUCCCGAAGCUUAACUUCGGAACUGCGUCUGAAACUGCACGACUAGAGCAUUGGAGAGGGUAGUGGAAUUCACGGUGUAGCAGUGAGAUGCGUAGAUAUCGUGAGGAACACCAGAGGCGAAGGCGACUACCUGGACAAUUGCUGACACUCAGGCACGAAAGCAUGGGGAGCAAAAGG
rnacentral:rRNA from 1 species